rnacentral:pre_miRNA from 1 species
CAACUACUCCCUCUGUCCCAAAUUUCUUGUCUUAGAUUUGUCUAGAUACUGAUGUAUCUAAUACUAAAAUGUGACUUGAUACAUCCGUAUCUAGACAAAUCUAAGACAAGAAUUUUGGGACGGAGGGGGUACUUU